CAAAAUGAUAUUCUUGUCCCGAGAAUGAGUGCCCUUUUUCAUGCAUGACAAUACCUUACUGGCCUUGGCCACUGCUGAUUGACAUUGCACAUUGUUGCAUAGUUUGUUGUCUAUUACAAUUCCCAAGUCCUUUACGUGUGUGGUUAUCCCUAAUUCGCUUCCAUUAAAGGUAUAUGUUGCUUGUGUAUUCUUUACGCCGAAAUACAUAACUUUGCAUUUUUCAACAUUAAAUUUAAUCUGCCAUUUGAGUGCCCAGUCUCACAGUCUAUCUAAAUCCCUCUGCAGCAAAGUAAUAUCUUGCUCACAUUGUAUUAUUUUACAGAGUGUUGUGUCAUCUGCAAACACUGAAACAUGACUUUAAAUGCUUUCUUCAAGAUCAUUUAUAAACAUGUUAAAUAGAAGGGGUCCCAGAACAGACCCCUGAGGGACACCACUUGCCACCUCUGUCCAGCUUGAAAAUUUACCAUUAAUGACAACUCUUUGUACUCUGUUUUUAAGCCAAUGUUCUACCCAAGAACAAGCAUUUUCAUCUUGACGGAUUUCCUUGAGUUUGAACACUAAUCUAUAGUAUGGGACUGUAUCAAAUGCCUUGGCAAAAUCCAAAUAGAUCACAUCUAUUGCAACACCCUGAUCUUCUACUUACU